rnacentral:rRNA from 1 species
AUUGAACGCUGGCGGCAUGCCUUACACAUGCAAGUCGAACGUGAAAGGGGGGCAACCCCCGAGUAGAGUGGCGGACGGGUGAGUAACACAUCGGAACGUACCCAGUAGUGGGGGACAACCUCGAGAAAUCGAGGCUAAUACCGCAUACGACCCACGGGUGAAAGCGGGGGACCGCAAGGCCUCGCGCUAUUGGAGCGGCCGAUGUCCGAUUAGCUUGUUGGCGGGGUAAGAGCCCACCAAGGCGACGAUCGGUAGCUGGUCUGAGAGGAUGAUCAGCCACACUGGGACUGAGACACGGCCCAGACUCCUACGGGAGGCAGCAGUGGGGUAAUUUUGGACAAUGGGGGCAACCCUGAUCCAGCCAUGCCGCGUGCGGGAAG